rnacentral:rRNA from 1 species
GACGAACGCUGGCGGCGUGCUUAACACAUGCAAGUCGAACGGAAAGGCCUCUUUCGGGGGGUACUCGAGUGGCGAACGGGUGAGUAACACGUGAGUAACCUGCCCUUGACUUUGGGAUAACUUCAGAAAACUGGGGCUAAUACCGGAUAGGAGCUCCUGCUGCAUGGUGGGGGUUGGAAAGUUUCGGCGGUUGGGGAUGGACUCGCGGCUUAUCAGCUUGUUGGUGGGGUAGUGGCUUACCAAGGCUUUGACGGGUAGCCGGCCUGAGAGGGUGACCGGCCACAUUGGGACUGAGAUACGGCCCAGACUCCUACGGGAGGCAGCAGGGGGGAAUAUUGCACAAGGGGUGGAAGCCUGAUGCAGCAACGCCGUGGGCGGGAUGACGGCCUUCGGGUUGUAAACCGCUUUCGCUCAUGACGAAGCUUUGUGUGACGGUAGUGGGUAAAGAAGCACCGGCUAACUACGUG